AAUUGGGCCCUCUAGAUGCAUGCUCGAGCGGCCGCCAGUGUGAUGGAUAUCUGCAGAAUUCGCCCUUAGAGUUUGAUCAUGGCUCAGAACGUACGCUGGCGGCACGCCUUAUACAUGCAAGUCGAACGAAGUAGCAAUACUUAGUGGCAGACGGGUGAGUAACAUGUGGGUAUCUUCCCUUUGGUGAGGAAUAACACGAGGAAACUUGUGCUAAUACCUCAUAAGUCUUUACGGAGAAAGCUUUAUGCGCCAAUGGAUGAGCCCGCACUUGAUUAGUUUGUUGGUGGGGUAACGGCCUACCAAGACUUUGAUCAAUAGCUGAUUUGAGAGGAUGAUCAGCCACAUUGGGACUGAGACACGGCCCAAACUCCUACGGGAGGCAGCAGUAAGGAAUCUUGCACAAUGGAGGAAACUCUGAUGCAGCGAUGCCGCGUGAGUGAAGAAGGCCUUUGGGUUGUAAAGCUCUUUCGUCGGGGAAGAAAAUGACUGUACCUGAAUAAGAAGGUCCGGCUAACUUCGUGCCAGCAGCCGCGGUAAUACGAAGGGACCUAGCGUAGUUCGGAAUUACUGGGCUUAAAGAGCUCGUAGGUGGUUAUAAAAGUUGAUGGUGAAAUCCCAAGGCUCAACCUUGGAACUGCCAUCAAAACUUUUUAGCUAGAGUGUGAUAGAGGUAAGUGGAAUUUCUAGUGUAGAGGUGAAAUUCGUAGAUAUUAGAAAGAACACCAAAUGCGAAGGCAACUUACUGGGUCACUACUGACACUGAGGAGCGAAAGCAUGGGUAGCGAAGAGGAUUAGAUACCCUCGUAGUCCAUGCCGUAAACGAUGUGUGCUAGACGUUGGAAAUAUAUUUUU
rnacentral:rRNA from 1 species